CGCUGGCGGCGUGCCUAACACAUGCAAGUCGAGCGGGGAGGAGAAAGCUUGCUUUCGAAUCCUAGCGGCGGACGGGUGAGUAACGCGUGAGCAACCUGCCUCUUACAGGGGGAUAACGCAUCGAAAGAUGUGCUAAUACCGCGUAAGACCACAGCAUCACAUGGUGCAGGGGUCAAAGGAGCAAUCCGGUAAGAGAUGGGCUCGCGUCCGAUUAGCUAGUUGGCGGGAUAACAGCCCACCAAGGCGACGAUCGGUAGCCGACCUGAGAGGGUGAUCGGCCACAUUGGAACUGAGAUACGGUCCAGACUCCUACGGGAGGCAGCAGUGGGGAAUAUUGGGCAAUGGGCGAAAGCCUGACCCAGCAACGCCGCGUGAGGGAAGAAGGGUUUCGGCUCGUAAACCUCUGUCCUAUGGGACGAAGAAGUGACGGUACCAUAGGAGGAAGCCCCGGCUAACUACGUG
rnacentral:rRNA from 1 species